GACGAACGCUGGCGGCGUGCUUAACACAUGCAAGUCGAGCGGUAAGGCCCUUUCGGGGGUACACGAGCGGCGAACGGGUGAGUAACACGUGAGUAACCUACCCUCAACUCUGGGAUAAGCCCGGGAAACCGGGUCUAAUACCGGAUAUCACUUCUUGCCACAUGGUGGGGGGUUGAAAGUUCUGGCGGUUGGGGAUGGGCUCGCGGCCUAUCAGCUUGUUGGUGGGGUGAUGGCCUACCAAGGCGUCGACGGGUAGCCGGCCUGAGAGGGCGACCGGCCACACUGGGACUGAGACACGGCCCAGACUCCUACGGGAGGCAGCAGUGGGGAAUAUUGCGCAAUGGGCGGAAGCCUGACGCAGCAACGCCGCGUGAGGGAUGACGGCCUUCGGGUUGUAAACCUCUUUCAGCAGGGACGAAGCGAGAGUGACGGUACCUGCAGAAGAAGGACCGGCCAACUACGUGCCAGCAGCCGCGGUAAUACGUAGGGUCCGAGCGUUGUCCGGAAUUAUUGGGCGUAAAGAGCUCGUAGGCGGUUUGUCGCGUCGGCCGUGAAAACUUGGGGCUUAACCCCAAGCCUGCGGUCGAUACGGGCAGACUUGAGUUCGGCAGGGGAGACUGGAAUUCCUGGUGUAGCGGUGAAAUGCGCAGAUAUCAGGAGGAACACCGGUGGCGAAGGCGGGUCUCUGGGCCGACACUGACGCUGAGGAGCGAAAGCGUGGGGAGCGAACAGGAUUAGAUACCCUGGUAGUCCACGCCGUAAACGGUGGGUGCUAGGUGUGGGGG
rnacentral:rRNA from 1 species